GGGGCAAGCGUUGUCCGGAAUCAUUGGGCGUAAAGAGCGUGUAGGCGGCCCGGUAAGUCCGCUGUGAAAGUCGAGGGCUCAACCCUCGAAUGCCGGCGGAUACUGUCGGGCUAGAGUCCGGAAGAGGCGAGUGGAAUUCCUGGUGUAGCGGUGAAAUGCGCAGAUAUCAGGAGGAACACCUACGGCGAAGGCAGCUCGCUGGGACGGUACUGACGCUGAGACGCGAAAGCGUGGGGAGCAAACAGG
rnacentral:rRNA from 1 species